AGACUACCUGGCCAGCGAGUCUCCAAGCUCUGCCCUUUCCCACCUUCUCUCCAGCACCUGAGUCACCACAAGUGCCACCUUGCACAGACCUCAGUUAUGAUCCCUUCUUGGGUUUCCUGGUCGGUGAUGACAUCAAACAUAUCAUGGCCCUCACCAUCUGUGAUGCUGUACUCGAUCUCCGCAUUUUCUCCCACAUCAGCAUCACUGGCUUUGAUCCUGCCAAUUGGCGUUCCCGGUGGAGAGGACUCAGGGGUCUUAAACUGGUUCUUCCCUUGAUGGGUGUGGAGACCGCACUCUGCUGAACUCACAUCUUACUCACCAACAUCAGCCAUCUCCGGGACUGUGGCUGUGUAAACAUCCUUGGUGUCCCUGUGAAAGGGUUGUUUGACCCCCAAAGUGGUUGUGACCCAUAGGGUGAGAAGCUCUGUUCUAGUGCACCCACUGAUGGACAAAGAAAGCAAAGAGGAUCUGAGGUGAUGAGCUAAGCAGUUUCCUGAAGAUUAUAGACUCUCCUCGGCUGCUGCUAUCAUCAUCUUCGAUGUGUAAUCGUCGCACACUUAGUCGGUGAAUACCACAUCCAGUCACAAGAUUUAUUCAGGUUCAGUGGGAAUAUCAUACAAGCAGGGAUCUCAGUAUUACAGAUGCUUUCUCAGCAAGAACUCCCAGGACAAGAACUAUAGCGUCUCCCAUUUCUACCUGCCUACUUGCCUUCACAUUUAACUCCUGAACUUGUCAGACAGGUUAGAAACUCACGUGUGCCCCUGGCCAGACAUUUUCAGUACCAUGUCUUAACUCCAGUCCCUAUGUGGUCCAGACUGCCCAGGAGGUGAUGGUUUCAGAGAGGAGGUGAUAUCUGCUGUGAAAAUGCUUUGGUUCUUUCUGAUUCACCUGGUUUGGUGUCUCUGAUGCAUUCUGGGACAGGAUGGAAUGCGAGAACAUUCAGCUCUGCCAAGGAAACCAAGUACAAAGUACCCCCUUUGGGUUCCCAAGCA